rnacentral:rRNA from 1 species
GAUGAACGCUAGCUACAGGCUUAACACAUGCAAGUCGAGGGGAAACGACAUCGAAAGCUUGCUUUUGAUGGGCGUCGACCGGCGCACGGGUGAGUAACGCGUAUCCAACCUGCCCAUCACUUGGGAAUAACCUUGCGAAAGUAAGACUAAUACCCAAUGAUAUCCCACGAAGGCAUCGGAAUGGGAUUAAAGAUUUAUCGGUGAUGGAUGGGGAUGCGUCUGAUUAGCUUGUUGGCGGGGUAACGGCCCAUCAAGGCAACGAUCAGUAGGGGUUCUGAGAGGAAGGUCCCCCACAUUGGAACUGAGACACGGUCCAAACUCCUACGGGAGGCAGCAGUGAGGAAUAUUGGCCAAUGGGCGAGAGCCUGAACCAGCCAAGUAGCGUGCAGGAAGACGGCCCUAUGGGUUGUAAACUGCUUUUAUAAGGGAAUAAAGUGGGUCACGUGUGACUUUUUGCAUGUACCUUAUGAAUAAGGACCGGCUAAUUCCGUG